rnacentral:lncRNA from 1 species
AGAUAAUUCUUCUUUCCUUUUUAUUUAAUUUAAAUUUUUUCAUCUUUUGUAUUUUUUCUUUUGGUAAUUAGAAUUUUAUUCAUCACCUAAAAGUGCAACCCGUUGCAAACCAAGCUUGACCAACACAGCCAGCUUCUCCUACAAAAGAAACUCAGCAACAGAAGAGACUCAAAGCUACAGUUCUCAAACAUAAUCUUUAAAGAAGUAGCUCUUACGCAACAAAUACAAGCAAUUUGUCUAGCUACAUCUUUAACUGUGUGUUCCUCCCCCUGAAAAGAUCAUGCAUUUUGUUCCCUCCAUAUAGCAUAGAUAAACUCCACAUACACCAGCUUCCACAACUGGGCCUAGAGGCUUCUCCCUUUACCCCUGUAGAUGAUCCAUUGAUACAUGGCGUCCCAUGUUGUAUACUAAGCCUGUCUAUGAUCUAGCCAACAUAAUAACUACAUUCAAACUAAGUGCAUUAGAAACCUGCAUUCUAUAAAUAAAUAAUGAAUAUUCCACUUUAACAAUCUAUCCAUUGUUAAGAAUCUAUUUUGCAGUUGAUGCCAAGUAGUAAAGAUGGCUUUGGGCCUUGCUAGGCUAGGACAAAUGAUAGCUCUACCUUAGGAUGGGUUCCUAAUAGCUUCAAAUAAGCUUGCCUAAUUCUUUUUGGUGGUUGAGAUUUUGAUGAAGCCAUGGGGAUUUGUAUUUCAAGAAAAUAAAAAUAAAAUAUUUAAUAUCUUUUUUUGGGGGGGAUUUUUGUGGGGUUUAAGAAUAUGAAAAUGAAAAUGAAAAUGAAGAGGAAAAAGAAGGUGGUUUGCUCUUUGUUUGUCG